AACGCACAUUGCGCCCCUUGGUAUUCCAUGGGGCAUGCCUGUUCGAGCGUCAUUUGUACUCUCAAGCUCUGCUUGGUGUUGGGUGUUUGUCCCGCGUUGCGUGUGGACUCGCCUUAAAGCAAUUGGCAGCCAGCAUAUUGGCCUUGGAACGCAGCACAUUUUGCGAUCCUAGUCAUACUUGUUGGCAUCCAUCAAGCCUAUACAUUAACGCUUGACCUCGGAUCAGGUAGGGAUACCCGCUGAACUUAA
rnacentral:misc_RNA from 1 species